AUACGGAGGGUCCGAGCGUUAUCCGGAUUUAUUGGGUUUAAAGGGUCCGUAGGCGGGAAAUUAAGUCAGUGGUGAAAGCCUACAGCUCAACUGUAGAACUGCCAUUGAAACUGAUUUUCUUGAAUAUAGAUGAAGUAGGCGGAAUAUAUCAUGUAGCGGUGAAAUGCAUAGAUAUGACAUAGAACACCGAUUGCGAAGGCAGCUUACUAAACUAUUAUUGACGCUGAGGGACGAAAGUGUGGGGAGCGAACAGGAUUAGAUACCCGAGUAGUCC
rnacentral:rRNA from 1 species